AGUGAAUAGAUACCCUGGUAGUCCACGCUGUAAACGAUGAGUGCUGGACGUUGGCGGGUUUACCUGCCGGUGUCGCAGCUAACGCGUUAAGCACUCCGCCUGGGGAGUACGGCCGCAAGGUUAAAAACUCAAAGGAAUUGACGGGGGCCCGCACAAGCGGUGGAGCAUGUGGUUUAAAUUCGACGCAACGCGCAGAACCUUACCAGCCCUUGACAUGGGCGACGGGGUCCAGAGAUGGACUCUUUCUCGCAAGAGACCGCUACACAGGUGCUGCAUGGCUGUCGUCAGCUCGUGUCGUGAGA
rnacentral:rRNA from 1 species